rnacentral:rRNA from 1 species
UGCUUAACACAUGCAAGUCGAACGCAACCUUCGGGUUGAGUGGCGGACGGGUGAGUAACGCGUGAGAAUCUGCCUUGGGGUCGGGGACAACCACUGGAAACAGUGGCUAAUACCGGAUAAGCCUUUGGGUAAAAAAUUUAUUGCCCCAAGAGGAGCUCGCGUCUGAUUAGCUAGUUGGUGAGGUAAAAGCUCACCAAGGCAGCGAUCAGUAGCUGGUCUGAGAGGACGAUCAGCCACACUGGGACUGAGACACGGCCCAGACUCCUACGGGAGGCAGCAGUGGGGAAUUUUCCGCAAUGGGCGAAAGCCUGACGGAGCAAGACCGCGUGAGGGAGGAAGGCUCUUGGGUUGUAAACCUCUUUUCUCAGGGAAGAAGCUCUGACGGUACCUGAGGAAUCAGCCUCGGCUAACUCCGUGCCAGCAGCCGCGGUAAUACGGAGGAGGCAAGCGUUAUCCGGAAUUAUUGGGCGUAAAGCGUCCGCAGGUGGCGAUUCAAGUCUGCUGUCAAAGCACGGGGCUUAACUCCGUUAAGGCAGUGGAAACUGAAUAGCUAGAGUGCCGUAGGGGUAGAGGGAAUUCCCGGUGUAGCGGUGAAAUGCGUAGAGAUCGGGAAGAACAUCGGUGGCGAAAGCGCUCUACUGGACGGCAACUGACACUCAGGGACGAAAGCUAGGGGAGCGAAUGGGAUUAGAUACCCCAGUAGUCCUAGCUGUAAACGAUGGAUACUAGGUGUAGCUUGUAUCGACCCGAGCUGUGCCGAAGCUAACGCGUUAAGUAUCCCGCCUGGGGAGUACGCACGCAAGUGU